rnacentral:rRNA from 1 species
CCUACGGGAGGCAGCAGUGAGGAAUAUUGGUCAAUGGGCGCUAGCCUGAACCAGCCAAGUAGCGUGAAGGAUGACUGCCCUAUGGGUUGUAAACUUCUUUUAUACGGGAAUAAAGUGCAGUACGUAUACUGCUUUGCAGGUACCUUAUGAAUAAGGAUCGGCUAAUUCCGUGCCAGCAGCCGCGGUAAUACGGAGGAUCCGAGCGUUAUCCGGAUUUAUUGGGUUUAAAGGGAGCGUAGGCGGCUUGUUAAGCGAGUUGUGAAAGUGCGCGGCUCAACCGUAACAUUGCAGUUGAUACUGGCAUCCUUGAGUGCAGUAGAGGUAGGCGGAAUUCGUGGUGGAGCGGUGAAAUGCUUAGAUAUCACGAAGAACUCCGAUUGCGAAGGCAGCCUGCUGGACUGUAACUGACGCUGAUGCUCGAAGGUGUGGGUAUCAAACAGGAUUAGAUACCCUUGUAGUC